GGCUCAUCUGGUAUGGAGCAGUGGCAUUAAACGCCGGGGUCACGGGUUCGAUUCCCGCCGGGCCCA